UCUCUAACGAAUCAGCGGAUUCGGCGCCACCCCUCUUUCCAAUCCAUCGGCGGCAACUCUCUCUAUUAGGCGGUGAGUAGUGGUGGCUACAAACGUUUUGCAACGGCGGCGAGUUGGUGAGGUUUAGGAGGAGAAGAGCGGCGGAUAAUCUCGACCAGAGGGACGACAUAAGCUAAGGUUUUCCUGAGCCGGUGGCGACAUCCUUGUGGCUGCAAAGCAGUUGAAUGGUGGCUGUUUGAACAGGCGUGCAGAAAUCGAAGCCUCCAUUAGUCAAAGCUUCGAGAACUGUCUCAGAUUGCUGUGAUUUGAGGUCGGAGAACCGAGUGGUUGUUAAGGCUUUGUUCGUCGGCGCCAUAAUCGUGGCAGCGCGCCUACUGGCUGCUGUUAGGAACCAAAUAGAAAGGAGUUUUAGGGCUAUUUUUCAUUGGAGAAUUUGAGGACCGCCAUUAAGAGUUCUAAGAAACUCUGUGCGAGACUUCAAUGAAUUCAGCAUGCUUAAUGCAGUACCAUUGUGCAAAAUUCAGGAAAAUGUCACAAAGGUGGAAUCUCACCUUGCUGAUGCUCGAGUAUAUAUGAUCACCCACCCAAAAGAAUUGAUGUGGUUGAUCUUGAUCCAUAUGGUUUGCCUUUUGUUUUAAUAUCCUGGACUCUGCUGUUCAAUCUGUUGGUGAUGGAGGAAUAUUAAUGUGUACUGCAACUGAUAUGGCAGUGCUCUGUGGAGGGUAUGGAGAGAUUUGCUAUUCCAAGUUUAAGCUCAAAAGGAUACAUGGUGGCAUACAUCGGAGCAUCGCAAGUUAAAGAGCAAAUCGGAGCCGGGCUGAGACCGAUCCACUCACGUGGAAGCACACGUGGAAGUGGAAUAUAAACUUCCACGUGACCAGCCCACGCACGUGGAACGGUUCACCCAUGUGGACCGGGCGCGUAGAAGGGAGCAACGCGGCGUUUUUGAAGUGUAAAUGGAGGGAAGCUAUUUAAGGGCUGAGAUUAUAUUAGAGAAUGAGACUUUUACAUCAUUUCACGACAUUACACAUUAGAUAGCUUGGAUUUUCUCUCUCUAGGGUUCUUAGUUCUCUCUAGUCUCUCUCAUCGUGAAGACUCUUGAAGAAGAAGACUGACAACCUUCCAUUCGAGGAUCAUUGUAGAAGCUUUCAACAUUUGCAAUUCAAUUUGGUACUCUUUAUUGCUUUUAUAGUUCA